UAUUUUAGUCUUAUUAGAGGAACCUGUUUUAUAAUUGAUAAUCCACGAUUUAUUUUACUUAUUUUUUAAUUUAUAUAUCGCUGUCAUGAAUAUAUUUAAAAAUUNAUUUUCUAUUAUUAAUUUUAUAAUUUAUGUUAAGUCAAGAUGUAGUUUAUAGAUAAGUUUUAAAUGGGUUACAUUAAAUUAAAUUUAUGGAUUUUAAAUGUAAAUUAAAAUGAAAUUGGAUUUAAUAGUAAAUUUAUUUAUUUAUUUAAUAUGAAUAAAGAUCUAAAAUAUGUACAUAUUGCCCGUCAUUCUUAUUAAAAAUAAGACAAGUCGUAACAAAGUAAAUGUACUGGAAAGUGUAUUUAGAAAGAUUAAAA
rnacentral:rRNA from 1 species